ACAGCUAACAUCACUAUCAUUCGUAUAUCCUCAUCAAUAUGGCGUGAGGGUCUCUACAAGGAGCCAAAAAUCCUAACUACGAAUAAGGGAUACGUGUAC
rnacentral:ncRNA from 2 species